rnacentral:rRNA from 1 species
CGGACGUGGAUAACCUGCCUCACACAGGGGAUAACAGUUAGAAAUGACUGCUAAUACCGCAUAAGCGCACGGCAUCGCAUGAUGCAGUGUGAAAAACUCCGGUGGUGUGAGAUGGAUCCGCGUCUGAUUAGGUAGUUGGUGGGGUAACGGCCCACCAAGCCGACGAUCAGUAGCCGACCUGAGAGGGUGACCGGCCACAUUGGGACUGAGACACGGCCCAA